rnacentral:rRNA from 1 species
CAGUCGCCGCGGGAAUACGUAGGUGGCAAGCGUUGUCCGGAAUUAUUGGGCGUAAAGGGCUCGCAGGCGGUUUCUUAGGUCUGAUGUGAAAUACCCGAGCCUAACUUGGGAGGUGCAUAUGGAACUGGGUAGCUAGAGUGUGUCAGAGGGAGGUAGAACUCCACGUGUAGCAGUGAAAUGCGUAGAGAUGUGGAAGAAUACCGAUGGCGAAGGCAGCCUCCUGGGAUAACACUGACGUUGAGGCUCGAAAGCGUGGGGAGCAAACAGGAUUAGAUACCCCCGUAGUCCCUGUCUCUUAUAC